CAUCGAACGUCGCAGGCUGAUUGAGAUGCGACGUGAGAGGGAACCCGGUGGGAAUCCGGGACUGUCCCGCAGCGGUAUGCAGGAACGACCGCCGUCAUCAGCACUGGCCCGCAGGAAACUGCGGCUGGGAAGCGACGGCCAGUAGGAGCACGGUUCGCGUGCGUGCCUGUGAGUCCGAAGACCUGCCAGCCGUACCGGGCGCGC
rnacentral:ncRNA from 2 species